GUCUUAAUGAUCGCUAGGAAAAUCUAUAGGGAAAUGAGUUUGUAAAUGGACGAAUCAUUACAACAAAGGAUAGGAUAACUGGAUCCACUGAAAAUUGUUUGUGGUUGACGCAUCGAACAAAUCAGCAAAUCAUUAAUCUACAUAGUAUUUUUCGUUCAUCAUCUCCAUAUAAUAAUACUCUUCUCCUUUUCCUCUUUGUAUAUAUGUACACAUGAGCCGCGAAACCACGAACCAUCGAUGGCGAAUGCAGACAGAGAGAAAGAGAAAGAGAGACAGAGGCAUACACAUACACAGAAUAGAAGAGAAAGCCAUGAAAGUACGCCGAGAUUGAGAUACAGGGGCUGAAAUGUUAACCGCAGAAUGGAAGACCACAAUUUAUGAAAGCAGCUAAUAUAUACGGCGGAAGUUCGAUCAAAGGGGUUAAGAUAGGUUGAUAAAGUUAACACUACUUUCGUAUAUAAACUAAAUCUUAGUGGCAACUUGUUCUCUAUCAAUUAACUAUACAUACAUAUAUGUACUAUUAUAUAUAUAUACAUAAAAACGAUUAUCUUUCAUUUUAUCAUCAUA